CCUACGGGUUGCACCAGUGGGGAAUAUUGCACAAUGGGCGAAAGCCUGAUGCAGCGACGCCGCGUGAGGGAUGACGGCCUUCGGGUUGUAAACCUCUUUCAGCACGGAAGAAGCGAAAGUGACGGUACGUGCAGAAGAAGCGCCGGCUAACUACGUGCCAGCAGCCGCGGUAAUACGUAGGGCGCAAGCGUUGUCCGGAAUUAUUGGGCGUAAAGAGCUCGUAGGCGGUUUGUCGCGUCUGCUGUGAAAGCCCGGGGCUUAACCCCGGGUGUGCAGUGGGUACGGGCAGACUUGAGUGCAGUAGGGGAGACUGGAAUUCCUGGUGUAGCGGUGAAAUGCGCAGAUAUCAGGAGGAACACCGAUGGCGAAGGCAGGUCUCUGGGCUGUUACUGACGCUGAGGAGCGAAAGCAUGGGGAGCGAACAGGAUUAGAUACCCGUGUAGUC
rnacentral:rRNA from 1 species